GUUUGUUUGUUUGUUUUGAGAGAGGGUCUUGCUCUGUCUCCCAGGUUGGAGUGCAGUGGCACGAUCUCAGCUCACUGCAACUUUGCUCUUCCAGGCUCAAAAUGAUUCUUCUGCCUCAGCCUCCUGAGUAGCUGGUACUAUCAGCAUGCACCACCACACCCAGCUAAUUUUUGUAUUUUUUUUGUAGAGAUGGGAUUUCACCAUGUUGCCCAUGCUAGUCUCGAAUUCCUGAGCUCAAGUGAUCUGCCCACCUCGGCCUCUCGAAGUGCUGGGAUUACAGACAUGAGCCACCACGCCCAGCCAAAUCGCCAUUCUAUUUUGGUCUCUGAAACUUAACAUUUUGCUUGAGGAAGGGCUCAUAUACAAGGAUAUUGAAACAAAUGUUGUUUUAUAUGAUAAUAAUGCCUGAGGAUCAAUACAUAUACAUUUCAUAUCCCAAUAUCCCAAAAAUAGCAAUCAGUGUAUUUACAGAUGCUGCAGAUCACUCUGAGGAGUUGAUUCUGAGGCUGUCCCUGAGGACCCAUGCCAGGAGAUGUGUCCUGGAAGUGACUGUCACAGAUGCAGUCCCCCAGAUGAUGAGGCAAGGCCUGAGGGUCUGCACUUGUUGGGGGAAAGGUUUAUUACAACUUCUCCCAAGCAAACGGAAAGCAAUACCUAGAGCAGCUCCAGUGCUUGUGUGUGGCACACCUCUGCAGGGGCCUGUGUGGCUUUGUCCUCAUUUCAGUUAGAGUUGAGAGUACAACCCAUUUUCGUGUAUGGUGGACCUUAUAAAACCUAAGUCUGCUUUCUACUCAGUAAACGUUUAGACAUUUUUCUUUUCACAUUAUUCUCCAGUUACUAAGAUUUUGUUUGUUGUCAAAUCCACAUAAGCCUUCUGUUUUUUGGUGAAGACAUAUUAUAGACUUAGAGUUUUAUUUCUUUCCACAAAUAUUUUGACAUUGUCAUUUUUGCCUUAGUUUAUACAACUAUUUUUCUAAGCUCUAGAUUUAGUUUUCACAUGGAUACCUCUGGUGUUUUAAUUCUGGCUUCCGCUUUUGGUUAGCAGUUGUGACUUAGAUUUCUUAUCUACAUGCUACUUCUGAAGCCUGGUUCUGUUGUGCUGCCUUUAGCAAGUGGUACACAGAAAAGCACUAAACGAUGAAAAGAUUAUUUUUGUUCCUUUCUGUCAAAUUCAAAGGCUAAUAUGGAGGGUUUUUUGAGUUUAUUUAUGAUCACUGGCCAAUAGCUCUAAGCUGUGAUAUCAUGUUCUUUGUCAUAGAAAUUGAAGAGACAGUGGAGAAAUACUUAUUUUAAAAGUGCCUUGAGCUGGAGGCAUGGGAGCGGGCCUGGGGAGGCCACGGGCACUCAUGUAGUGGCAGGGCCUGGGCCUCAGCUCUGUGCCCAGGAGGUUCCCCAUGCCGGCCAGGCACAUCGGAAUCUGGCAUGUGAGUGUCCCCAAACUCACUGUCCAGCCACCCCCCUUGAUAGCAGGAUCCCUGGGAGCAGGCCACUUGGCAGUGGGCAUGGACUCAGAGCAAAGCAAGAUGGGUGCCUCAAGAGCUUGGUCCCACCCAGGCCUGAGACUGCCUCCCUUUCUGGUGAGGAUCAGAGAGAGGAUGCCCUGCCCGCAGUGCAUUCUGUGCUAUUUCCGUGUUCUGCACCAGGGAUAAUGUAGCAUGAACUUUGAAGGUGGAACCUGGCUCGCUGUGCUGUGAUUGGAUUUGAUGUCACACAUUCUCCUUUGAUGUCAGAGGCCUCACCUACAAGUGGGCCAUCCUGGGAUGGGUUUACAGCA
rnacentral:lncRNA from 1 species